GAGACGUUGUUUAAUUAAGCGCAACAAGAGACGUCCCUUAGGGGACACACGUCGCGACGUCUCCAUCUCUCUCUCAUCUCUCUCAUCUUCUGAAACUUCUCCGUGAAAACUUCCACCGCCGGAAUCGCCGCCGUCUCAGUCGCUUCACUACGUCCUCAUCAAUCGUCGCCAUAAGAAAGGAGUACGCCAAUCGGUGGAACCAGCAAGUUCCAAACUAUCUUCUCUGCUCCAAACUAUUGCUGGGAGUUUGACAAUGCAGGUGCAUUAUUGAGCGUGGACCAAUUUCUUGUCUGCUCUUUUGAGAUUCUGAAACCUGCCUCAUCUUCAAGCUGUAUUGCUCUCAAAAAGGGAUCUUUUAAGGGAGGAAGACCAAUGGUUAUAUGAAUGACAUUCAAGAGUUUGAGCCUGUGGUAAGGCCGCCAACGAUGGAAUCAAACUAUCCUUGAGGAUCUCUCUCGCUCUGUGGUGCCUCCAAAGAAGCCAAGCAUAGCUGAGGAGCCUGCAACAUCUCUGUCUCCGUUCUCUACGGCUCGUGCAUCUCACAACACAUAUAACUCUUCUUCUCUUACCAUUCUUCUCAUGUUCAGGAAAUAAUCAAAAACUUUUUAUACAUUUUGAUCACAAAUUCAUACAUUUUGAUCACAAAUUAUACAAUACUCAAAAACAAUGUUUAAUUUUUUUCUAAGAACCCCUAAAAUAAGAGACUCCCAUUAAAGCACAAAAAUGUUGAUGUCUCUUAGCUAGGUCUCUUAAGUAAAAUUUAAUAUUUAAAAAUCAUUAAGAGACCCAAAGUGAGUUUUUGGGUUAAUGAUGCUCUUAAAGGUUUAAAGAAGAGUUGAAAAAAAAAACCUAACGCUCUAACGCUCCUAGGCACGGGGCUCGAGGUACUCUGUGAUUCAAUGCGCUCCGGCACCGGCGACGCUUUUUCUCGCCGGCGCUGGCCACUCGCGACAAUGUCGUCCGCUGUCUUCAUCUCUCUGCUCAUUUCUCGUUUCAUCUCUCGUGUGCUGCGGAGUCGUAGCGUUUUGUAGGACUAUUCAUGCAGAACGUAUCAUCAUAUUCAUGUUUGUCAGAGUCAAAACUAUUCCUUACUAAGUUUGGUUCUUUUUGUUUUCAGCAAGUGGAGCGAGACAGGCCGAUGCUCAUGUCAACAACCCUGAGCAGUACCUCUCAAAUCCGAGUAACCCUUUCUUUGUGAAGACGCUGGGUAAAAAAAUCGUUGUUCUGGUAAUAAUCACAGCUUUUUUUUUCAGUUUCUCUGCAGACAGUUUUGAGUUUAUAUUUUGUUUCCUUUUUAAGCUAAGACUUGUCUUCUUCUCCCCAUCUUUUUUGUGUUUAGUAUGUGAGCCAUCUGGUGACGGAGAAGUAUGGCUUGCAGUUUGGUCCACACAAUUCCCCCAUGCUUUACCUUCUCCCCAACGAAAAAA